rnacentral:sRNA from 1 species
UCUAGGUCGAUGGUGUUCGUCAGGGCAAAUCUAUUGAGCCCAAACACGAUGGAGUUAUGAUGAGUAGAUUAGGAGUUCUGGUGACCAACUCCUGACUCCAUCAUGAGACCCUGAACAUCA